CCUGCACAAAGCCGCGUCCUCGCGUCCCCGCGUCCCCGCCGCCGCCUCGGGCCGCCGCGCGCGGCCCCUCCUCCUCUCCUCCCGCCGCCGCCUCGGCCGCUUCUUCCGCUUUUUUUUUUUUUUAAUUUAGAUGUGAUGUUUGUUUCGAGCUCUCGCCUUGCGCACGGUUAAAGUCGCGGCGGCAGAAUUAUCGGAAGAUUCCUGCAGGGGAAAGAAGAGAGAGACGAGUCAGCUCCGGCGCCGGCGGAGCCCCGGCUCUCGGCACCUGGGGAAGGAAAACACGCCCCAACACACGCGCCUCUGCGGGCGCCAAAAAUAACCCGCGCGGGCCGGGCGCCCACCCCGGGGCAACCCGCGCCCACCUCAGGGGCCCCAGGCACCCACCCCGAGAGCUGCUGCAACUGUCAGUCACCCACCCGGAACCCCGAGGGGCAACUACCAAGUAGGCCUCGGGGCCCGGAACAAGGGUCCCGGGGCUCAGGAUCUCGGCCGCUGCGCCUCACUCCUGCCCCAGCCCCGCGCACGGAACUCGUUUCCUUCCCACCCAGUUCGGGACACUCCUCUCUGACUUCCCCAAUGAGGGGCAGAGGACAUCAGCAGAGCCUAUUUCGUGCCCUCUGAGUCUCCACACACAGAUUUAUCAUUGAGACCUUCCCGAUUCCCCUACCAGGGAUGCCGGCUGGCCCUGCCGGCCUGCGGGGCCCAGCCUAAGUCAGGCUCAUCUUUUGGGACAGGAUCUCACUUGCAGCGCUACAGCCAGUCCCUCUUCUGGUUCUCACGCACCCACUUAAGGCGGAGUGACUGGCCUAAAAGUCCAAGCUGAUCGUGUGGCUUCCGUUCGUAAAUAUCUCCCCUGGAUCUCCCUCCCUGGAGCCAGACAAGACUCAAAACUCCGAAGGGAAUGCAGUCCCCGCAGGGCGCAAAGGAGAAACUAAUAGUCCAGAGGCGGGGUGAACUUAAAGACCUGGCUUUCAUUAGCGUGGUGUUGUAACAGACUGCCAAGGAGCCUCUGAGGAAAUGGAUUUACGUACAUAUACAUACUCGCCCUUGCCCCUGAAGCAACAUCAAAUACUUUCAUGUUAUUCUUGGGGGCGUUUUAAUUCUUCCGAUCCUCUGAAUUCGUGUUUUUGUACAUCUCUUUCCAACCUGGGCCUACACACUAACAGAAAUAGUUUUUUACAUCGAAGGACAAUGCUUAGUGUUUUAUUCAGUCUCAGCUCUUUUCUUUCUUUUUUCUCGUUGUGUUUCAAAAUGUUUAUUUUUUCUGUCUUGUGAUAGUUUUGGAGGAAAAAUAUUGAAAUAAUUCAAAUCAGGCUCUUAACUCUGCUUUAUUAAAUUUAUAGUCAUAGUAGCCUGUGAGUAUGCUUCGGGGGAGGAAAAAAGAAUGCUGGGGUCUUUAUUCUUCAAGUUCUCUAAGUUUGAUAUUUUGAAUAAACACCCAGAGGUGUCUCUGCCUUUUGUGUGUUAGUAUCUAAUCUUUCCUGCAUUUACGAGUCACUAGUAAAAUGCUAUGAAAGCCAUAGAUCCCAUGGCUCUCACUGUGAUUUUCCUGGGCUGAGUAGGGACUUAGUGAUGUUUAACCCCCAGUAUGCUUUUUAUAGAAGCACCAGCUGAUUCACCAGUGCCCUCCAAAGUGAGCACCUAUCCAUCUCACUCUGGACUCCCAACAGGUCAUACCAGGGAGCUUCGUUGAAAUAGACUUGGCAUUUAAAUUAAAAUGUUUCCCAAAGCAUCUUGGCAGACCUGUAACUAAUGAUGCCAGAGGCCCAAGGCCUGUGCCAGGUUCCCUUUUAUUCCCAUAAGUGCUUGUCUCCCACAAGCCACUGGUCACACGCCUGCUGAUGUUAUAGAAGCACUUCUUCAUCCCACAAACAGCCCAACUGUAGGUACCCUAUCUCAGACAUGGUGAAGGGAAGCAGCAUGUUCCUCUGACAUGUGCGAUGCUUGGCUCCCAACAGGCUUUUUAUAAUAAGCUAAACUCAGAUUUUUUCAUCACAAAUAGCGU
rnacentral:lncRNA from 10 species